AAUACAAGAUUUUAGAGUAAAACUCGUAAUCCUCUCAGACACGAAACGACAACAUGUAAUAUUAGUUUCGUUCCAAAAAUAUCGAACUGACGAUUUUUAAGCUUCGGCUAAGAGUUUUACUAGUUCAGCAAUGAUACUUAGUGGAAUAGGCCACA
rnacentral:sRNA from 1 species